UGCUAUGAUGAUGAGAAGAAAUAAUCUCGUUAAUCUGAUGUUUAACCUUCAUGAGGAUAACAUUCUCAUCCAUUCAUUAUUCUUUCUGAGC